rnacentral:rRNA from 1 species
UACGAAGGGGGCUAGCGUUGCUCGGAAUCACUGGGCGUAAAGCGCACGUAGGCGGAUUGCUAAGUCAGGGGUGAAAUCCUGGAGCUCAACUCCAGAACUGCCUUUGAUACUGGCGAUCUUGAGUCCGGGAGAGGUGAGUGGAACUGCGAGUGUAGAGGUGAAAUUCGUAGAUAUUCGCAAAGAACACCAGUGGCGAAGGCGGCUCACCUGGCCCGGUACUGACGCUGAGGUGCGAAAAGCGUGGGGAGCAAACAGGG